UCCUACGGGGGGCAGCAGUGAGGAAUAUUGGUCAAUGGUCGGGAGACUGAACCAGCCAAGCCGCGUGAGGGAUGAAGGUGCAGAGUAUCGUAAACCUCUUUUGUCAGGGAACAAAGGCGGGGACGUGUCCCCGGAUGAGUGUACCUGAAGAAAAAGCAUCGGCUAACUCCGUGCCAGCAGCUGCGGUAAUACGGAGGAUGCGAGCGUUAUCCGGAUUUAUUGGGUUUAAAGGGUGCGCAGGCGGUCUGUUAAGUCAGCGGUCAACGCCCGGGGCUCAACCCCGGCCCGCCGUUGAAACUGGCAGU
rnacentral:rRNA from 1 species